rnacentral:rRNA from 1 species
AGAGUUUGAUCAUGGCUCAGAUUGAACGCUGGCGGCAGGCCUAACACAUGCAAGUCGAGCGGUAGCACAGAGAGCUUGCUCUCGGGUGACGAGCGGCGGACGGGUGAGUAAUGUCUGGGAAACUGCCUGAUGGAGGGGGAUAACUACUGGAAACGGUAGCUAAUACCGCAUAAUGUCGCAAGACCAAAGUGGGGGACCUUCGGGCCUCAUGCCAUCAGAUGUGCCCAGAUGGGAUUAGCUAGUAGGUGGGGUAACGGCUCACCUAGGCGACGAUCCCUAGCUGGUCUGAGAGGAUGACCAGCCACACUGGAACUGAGACACGGUCCAGACUCCUACGGGAGGCAGCAGUGGGGAAUAUUGCACAAUGGGCGCAAGCCUGAUGCAGCCAUGCCGCGUGUGUGAAGAAGGCCUUCGGGUUGUAAAGCACUUUCAGCGGGGAGGAAGGCGGUGAGGUUAAUAACCUCAUCGAUUGACGUUACCCGCAGAAGAAGCACCGGCUAACUCCGUGCCAGCAGCCGCGGUAAUACGGAGGGUGCAAGCGUUAAUCGGAAUUACUGGGCGUAAAGCGCACGCAGGCGGUCUGUCAAGUCGGAUGUGAAAUCCCCGGGCUCAACCUGGGAACUGCAUUCGAAACUGGCAGGCUAGAGUCUUGUAGAGGGGGGUAGAAUUCCAGGUGUAGCGGUGAAAUGCGUAGAGAUCUGGAGGAAUACCGGUGGCGAAGGCGGCCCCCUGGACAAAGACUGACGCUCAGGUGCGAAAGCGUGGGGAGCAAACAGGAUUAGAUACCCUGGUAGUCCACGCCGUAAACGAUGUCGAUUUGGAGGUUGUGCCCUUGAGGCGUGGCUUCCGGAGCUAACGCGUUAAAUCGACCGCCUGGGGAGUACGGCCGCAAGGUUAAAACUCAAAUGAAUUGACGGGGGCCCGCACAAGCGGUGGAGCAUGUGGUUUAAUUCGAUGCAACGCGAAGAACCUUACCUGGUCUUGACAUCCACAGAACUUAGCAGAGAUGCUUUGGUGCCUUCGGGAACUGUGAGACAGGUGCUGCAUGGCUGUCGUCAGCUCGUGUUGUGAAAUGUUGGGUUAAGUCCCGCAACGAGCGCAACCCUUAUCCUUUGUUGCCAGCGGUUAGGCCGGGAACUCAAAGGAGACUGCCAGUGAUAAACUGGAGGAAGGUGGGGAUGACGUCAAGUCAUCAUGGCCCUUACGACCAGGGCUACACACGUGCUACAAUGGCAUAUACAAAGAGAAGCGACCUCGCGAGAGCAAGCGGACCUCAUAAAGUAUGUCGUAGUCCGGAUUGGAGUCUGCAACUCGACUCCAUGAAGUCGGAAUCGCUAGUAAUCGUAGAUCAGAAUGCUACGGUGAAUACGUUCCCGGGCCUUGUACACACCGCCCGUCACACCAUGGGAGUGGGUUGCAAAAGAAGUAGGUAGCUUAACCUUCGGGAGGGCGCUUACUACUUUGUGAUUCAUGACUGGGGUGAAGUCGUAACAAGGUAACCGUAGGGGAACCUGCGGUUGGAUCACCU